CCUACGGGUGGCAGCAGUGGGGAAUAUUGCUCAAUGGGGGUAACACUGAAGCAGCAAAGCCGCGUGGAGGAUGACGGUUUUCGGAUUGUAAACUCCUUUUGUUAGAGAAGAUAAUGACGGUAUCUAACGAAUAAGCACCGGCUCACUCCGUGCCAGCAGCCGCGGUACUACGGCGGGUGCCAGCGUUACUCGGAAUCACUGGGCGUAAAGAGCGCGUAGGCGGGAUAGCAAGUCAGAUGUGAAAUCCUAUGGCUUAACCAUAGAACUGCAUUGGAAACUGGUAUUCUAGAGUAUGGGAGAGGUAGGUGGAAUUCGUGGUGUAGGGGUGAAAUCCGUAGAGAUCAAGAGGAAUACUCAUUGCGAAGGCGACAUGCGAGAGCAUUACUGACGCUGAUGCGCGAAAGCGCGGGGAGCGAACAGGAUUAGAUACCCUUGUAGUC
rnacentral:rRNA from 1 species